rnacentral:rRNA from 1 species
ACGGGUGAGUAACGCGUAUGCAACCUUCCCUUAACAGGGGGAUAGCUCGGAGAAAUCCGGAUUAAUACCCCAUAAAGCAGGGGUACCGCCUGGUACUAUUUGCUAAAGCUUAGGCGGUUAAGGAUGGGCAUGCGUGCCAUUAGCUAGUUGGUAAGGUAACGGCUUACCAAGGCUACGAUGGCUAGGGGGUCUGAGAGGAUGGUCCCCCACACUGGUACUGAGACACGGACCAGACUCCUACGGGAGGCAGCAGUGAGGAAUAUUGGUCAAUGGACGGAAGUCUGAACCAGCCAUGCCGCGUGAAGGAAGAAGGCCCUCAGGGUUGUAAACUUCUUUUGUACGGGGGUAAUAGUUUCUACGCGUAGAGACAUGAAAGUACUGUACGAAUAAGCGUCGGCUAACUACGUGCCAGCAGCCGCGGUAAUACGUAGGACGCAAGCGUUAUCCGGAUUCAUUGGGUUUAAAGGGUGCGUAGGCGGGCCUUUAAGUCAGUGGUGAAAGUUUGCCGCUUAACGGUAAGAUUGCCAUUGAUACUGGAGGCCUUGAGUGCAGAUGAGGUAGGCGGAAUGUGUAGUGUAGUGGUGAAAUACUU